AUUGAACGCUGGCGGCAGGCCUAACACAUGCAAGUCGAGCGGAUGAAGGGAGCUUGCUCCUGGAUUCAGCGGCGGACGGGUGAGUAAUGCCUAUGAAUCUGCCUGGUAGUGGGGGAUAACGUCCGGAAACGGGCGCUAAUACCGCAUACGUCCUGAGGGAGAGAGUGGGGGAUCUUCGGACCUCACGCUAUCAGAUGAGCCUAGGUCGGAUUAGCUAGUUGGUGGGGUAAAGGCCUACCAAGGCGACGAUCCGUAACUCGUCUGAGAGGAUGAGCAGUCACAGUGGAAGUGGAACACGGUCCAGACUCCUACGGGAGGCAGGAGUGGGGAAUAUUGGACGGUGGGAGAAAGCAUGUUCCAGCAAUGCGGGGUGGGUGAAGAAGGUAUUGGGAUUGUAAAGCACAUGACGUUGGGAGGAAGGACAGUAAGUUAAGGCCAAGAUGCAAUGACGUUACCAACAGAAUAAGCACCGGCUAACUUCGUG
rnacentral:rRNA from 1 species